UACGUAGGGUGCGAGCGUUGUCCGGAUUUAUUGGGCGUAAAGAGCUCGUAGGCGGUUUUGUCGCGUCGGCCGUGAAAUCUCCACGCUUAACGUGGAGCGUGCGGUCGAUACGGGCAGACUUGAGUUCGGUAGGGGAGACUGGAAUUCCUGGUGUAGCGGUGAAAAUGCGCAGAUAUCAGGAGGAACACCGGUGGCGAAGGCGGGGUCUCUGGGGCCGAUACUACGUGAGGAGCGAAAAGCGUGGGGGGAGCGAAACAGGAUUAGAAAACCCCCG
rnacentral:rRNA from 1 species